GAUGAACGCUAGCGACAGGCCUAACACAUGCAAGUCGAGGGGCAGCGGGGGAGUAGCAAUACUCCUGCCGGCGACCGGCGCACGGGUGAGUAACACGUAUGCAACCUGGCCGUCACAGGUGGAUAACCGGAAGAAAUUCCGACUAAUACAGCAUAACACUCCUGAGGGACAUCCUUCGGGAGUCAAAGGAGGCGACUCCGGUGACGGAUGGGCAUGCGGCGCAUUAGGUAGUUGGUAGGGUAACGGCCUACCAAGCCGACGAUGCGUAGGGGUUCUGAGAGGAAGGUCCCCCACAUUGGAACUGAGACACGGUCCAA
rnacentral:rRNA from 1 species